rnacentral:rRNA from 1 species
GAGUUUGAUUCUGGCUCAGGAUGAACGCUGGCGGCGUGCCUAACACAUGCAAGUCGAGCGCGGUUGUGCUUAGUAUUGAGUGUUUUAUUGAUAUAAAACAUUGAAUUCUAUGCACAACUGAGCGGCGGACGGGUGAGUAACGCGUGGGUAACCUGCCCUAUACACAUGGAUAACAUACUGAAAAGUUUACUAAUACAUGAUAAAAUAGUUUUUCGGCAUCGAAGAAUUAUCAAAGUGUUAGCGGUAUAGGAUGGACCCGCGUCUGAUUAGCUAGUUGGUGAGAUAACUGCCCACCAAGGCGACGAUCAGUAGCCGACCUGAGAGGGUGAUCGGCCACAUUGGAACUGAGACACGGUCCAAACUCCUACGGGAGGCAGCAGUGGGGAAUAUUGCACAAUGGGCGCAAGCCUGAUGCAGCAACGCCGCGUGAACGAUGAAGGUCUUCGGAUCGUAAAGUUCUGUUGCAGGGGAAGAUAAUGACGG